rnacentral:sRNA from 2 species
CUGUUGCGUCUACUCUUCAGACGUGAUUCAUUCAAGAAAUUACUCCCUCACAUCUGGCGGGAGAGUCCGCCUGUUGGAAGUGAAACACAUCGCUCAACUCAAAAUGCUGGCCGCAAGAGAUCAAGAAAACCUUGUCCAUGCUCAUCAGACUGCUGCUGCUGCCAAACCCCUGAACCAGAGUACCAGACAGCUACAACCAAAGACACCCGGUAACAGAGCACCGAAAACACCCUUCGGGCUAUCCUUGAAUGACGAGAAUAAUCCUCUGGUCUUUGGUGGGGGAAGGAAGACAGGAAAACCGAAUAAUGGACAGAACGAGAAUAUCCUGAAGUCAGGGCAGGAUGCAAUUGCUGGUGGGAAUGCGUUCGUUACGCCUAUGGCCCCACGAAGUCGUGCUCCCUUAGGAGUGAAAACGACAAAUGCGAAGGCGCAAGCUUUCCAAACCCCAGCACCCCCUUUGGGUACAUCUAAACCAGUCAAGACCACAAAGCGACCUUCAGCGACUCGAAAAUUGAAGCAGAGCACCCCUGAAGUGCUGCCAGGUCCGCCCAAAGUCGUUGCUACAGAGGACGAAAAGGACGAUGUUCCAGAUAUUGAAUAUAUGCCUCCCAAACCAACAC